AUUAAUUGUUAUUAGCGGCGGGGUCCGCCGCUAAUACCCCGCCGCUAAUAACACUAUAUAAACCCCAUCAGACCCCUCUUCCCCAUUUUUCCCUUCUUCUCUAAAAAUCAAAAUCCCUAACCCUAACCGCCCCUCCCCUUCUCCUUUGCACUGAAAAAUCCCAACCGCCUCUCCCCUCUCCGACGCACCACCAGUCCGUCGCACCACCACUCCGACGCACCACCACCCCGACGCACCACCACCGACCACUACCACCGGCUAUUUUUGUUCCACCUCCGGUCAGAAAGGGUCGUGGGGUUGCCGCAAACGCUAAUCUCAAAAAAAAAAAAGGAGAGAAGCUGGUAAGCCCUUACCGGUGGAGGUAGAUCUUGAAACUGGCAAAGUUGUUGGCACUGAAGCAAGCAAUUAUGUUCGAUUUCUUGGCCAACAAGUAAGCAUGCUGUGCUCGGGUGGUCAUCUAAAUUUUUCUGAUAUACCCCAACAAUACAAGGAUCAAGUGCUCAAUCGAAUUAGAUACUAUUUUGAUAUCGAUGGGAAUUCCCAUCGAGACCUACUUAUGGGGACUUUAUAUUCGGUGAUGGCGGAGCGGUAUAAUGAGCGAAAGACACUCAGACACAAGCAUUUUAAACAACAUUAUAAAAAACUAGAAGAUUGGGAGACAGUUCUCAAAUUCCCCCCUGACUACUUGAAUACCGAGACUUAGAAACCGGUUUGCGAAUCGUCAGCGAGGCAUUUUUGAAUCGUUCAACUAAAAAUAAAUCGAAUCGGCAACUAAUGAAAUAUCCAACAACGCAAGGCACAAAAUCAUUGGCGUCCAUAUGCCACGGAAUGGGGGGUCCUCCUGGAGAGCAUGUAGUAGAAGCAUGGAAGGAGAUCCAUGUGAAAAAACCGUCUGACACUUUUGUUAAUGAAUUAGCUGCAAAAGAUUAUUAGGAACUGAUCAAGGAGCUUGAUAGGAAGCGACUUGAACGACAAUCCCAGAGCGAUGCGGG